UGAAUACGAGAUGCUACGGCGUCGAAGCAGUCUAUGUCAUACUUCCAAGAAAAGCUUGCACUGUCAUAAACAAAUAAUGCCUGUACCAUAACCGACACAGGUGGGUAGGUAGAGUAUACUAAGGGGCGCGAGAUAACUCUCUCUAAGGAACUCGGCAAAAUGACUCCGUAACUUCGGGAGAAGGAGUGCCUUAUUUAUAAGGUUGCAAUAACAAGAUCCAAGCAACUGUUUACCAAAAACACAGGUCUCCGCUAAGUCGUAAGACGAUGUAUGGGGGCUGACGCCUGCCCAGUGCCAGAAGGUUAAAGAAGUUGGUUAGCAUCCGCGAAGCUGAUAACUGAAGCCCUGGUGAACGGCGGCCGUAACCAUAACGGUCCUAGGGUAGCGAAAUUCCUUGUCGGGUAAGUUCCGACCCGCACGAAAGGCGUAAUGAUUUGGAUACUGUCUCAGAGAGGGGCUCGGUGAAAUAGACUUGUCUGUGAAGAUGCGGACUACCUGCACCAGGACAGAAAGACCCUAUGAAGCUUUACUGUAACUUGAAAUUGAAAUUGGACUUUACUUGCGCAGUAUAGGUGGGAGGCGUUGAGAACAUUCUUGCGGGAAUGUUGGAGCCAUCAGUGAGAUACCACUCUUGUAAUGUUAGAUUUCUAACUUUGUAUCAUUAUCUGGUCAAAGGACAGUUUCAGGCGGGCAGUUUGACUGGGGCGGUCGCCUCCCAAACGGUAACGGAGGCGCACAAAGGUUUCCUCUGAACGGGUAGAAAUCGUAUCUAGAGUGUAAAGGCAUAAGGAAGCUUGACUGUGAGACCUACAAGUCGAGCAGGGACGAAAGUCGGUCUUAGUGAUCUGACGGUCUGAGUGGAAAGGCCGUCACUCAACGGAUAAAAGUUACUCUAGGAUAACAGGCUGAUCUCCCCCAAGAGUUCACAUCGACGGGGAGGUUUGGCACCUGGAUGUCGGCUCAUCGCAUCCUGGGGCGGUAGUACGUCCCAAGGGUUGGGCUGUUCGCCCAUGAAAGCGGUACACGGGCUGGGUUCAGAACGUCGUGAGACAGUUCGGUCCAUAUCCGGUGUAGGCGUUAGAAUAUUGAGAGGAGCCUUCUUUAGUACGAGAGGACCGAGAAGGACAUACCUCUGGUGUACCAGUUAUCGUGCCAACGGUAAACGCUGGGUAGCUAUGUAUGGAGUGGAUAACCGCUGAAAGCAUCUAAGUGGGAAGCCCACCUCAAGAUAAGUAUUCUC
rnacentral:rRNA from 1 species